rnacentral:sRNA from 1 species
CUCUCGCGUGAGGGAUAGAAGCGGCAUCCUUUUUCAGUAGCGGCGGCUCCGCCGCCGCUACUGAAAAAGAUAUAGCGGAAAGCCCGGCCUGAA